rnacentral:rRNA from 1 species
AAUCCAUAGGUUAAUGAGGCGAACCGGGGGAACUGAAACAUCUAAGUACCCCGAGGAAAAGAAAUCAACCGAGAUUCCCCCAGUAGCGGCGAGCGAACGGGGAGGAGCCCAGAGCCUGAAUCAGCAUGUGUGUUAGUGGAAGCGUCUGGAAAGGCGCGCGAUACAGGGUGACAGCCCCGUACACAAAAGCGCAUGUGCUGUGAGCUCGAUGAGUAGGGCGGGACACGUGGUAUCCUGUCUGAAUAUGGGGGGACCAUCCUCCAAGGCUAAAUACUCCUGACUGACCGAUAGUGAACCAGUACCGUGAGGGAAAGGCGAAAAGAACCCCGGCGAGGGGAGUGAAAAAGAACCUGAAACCGUGUACGUACAAGCAGUGGGAGCCCCACCACCAAAGCAUUCUCUGGUGUUGAAGGCCCUGCAAAGCAGCAUCGCGGUGGCGGAGCGUCGUUUGCGACGCCCAACACACAAAACAAGCGGUGAGUGCUUUGGGGUGGGGUGACUGCGUACCUUUUGUAUAAUGGGUCAGCGACUUAUAUUCUGUAGCAAGGUUAACCGAAUAGGGGAGCCGGAGGGAAACCGAGUCUUAAUUGGGCGUUAAGUUGCAGGGUAUAGACC